rnacentral:rRNA from 1 species
GAUGAACGCUGGCGGCGUGCCUAAUACAUGCAAGUCGAGCGAACGGACGAGAAGCUUGCUUUUCUGAUGUUAGCGGCGGACGGGUGAGUAACACGUGGAUAACCUACCUAUAAGACUGGGAUAACUUCGGGAAACCGGAGCUAAUACCGGAUAAUAUUUUGAACCGCAUGGUUCAAAAGUGAAAGACGGUCUUGCUGUCACUUAUAGAUGGAUCCGCGCUGCAUUAGCUAGUUGGUAAGGUAACGGCUUACCAAGGCAACGAUGCGUAGCCGACCUGAGAGGGUGAUCGGCCACACUGGAACUGAGACACGGUCCAGACUCCUACGGGAGGCAGCAGUGGGGAAUAUUCCGCAAUGGGCGAAAGCCUGACGGAGCAACGCCGCGUGAGUGAUGAAGGUCUUCGGAUCGUAAAACUCUGUUAUUAGGGAAGAACAGAUGUGUAAGUAACUGUGCACAUCUUGACGGUACCUAAUCAGAAAGCCACGGCUAACUACGUG